rnacentral:rRNA from 1 species
UACAGAGGGGGCAAGCGUUGUUCGGAAUUACUGGGCGUAAAGGGCGCGUAGGCGGCCCGCUAAGUCGAACGUGAAAUCCCCAGGCUCGACCUGGGAACUGCGUCCGAUACUGGCAGGCUUGAAUCCGGGAGAGGGAUGUGGAAUUCCAGGUGUAGCGGUGAAAUGCGUAGAUAUCUGGAGGAACACCGGUGGCGAAGGCGGCAUCCUGGACCGGUAUUGACGCUGAGGCGCGAAAGCUAGGGGAGCAAACGGG